AGAAGAAGCUGCCUCUGUUUGAAGAGACUGUACAAACUGUCCCUAUUUUCCUGCCCCUCUUUGAAAAGCUCCUGAGAGUGUAGCAUGUUCUGCUGUUUAAGAGAACUGCCGUAAGGUCUUUACAACACAGACAAGAGAAAAACCAACCUGAGCACCCUUCUGCAACUCUACCAUCUCCAGUGCAGUCACACGGCCUUAUUUCAUGCCUUCUGUUAUCUAUCAUAUAUACCUAAUGCUACAGCUUUGGGAAGCACCUCUCACCUGCUGCACAGACCCUGGGAGGAGGCACUACCAUUGCACUCAAAAUACAUCUGAAGCCACAGGUCGGUUAUCUGAGGUUUGCUUCACUCCUUCAUACUCUACGAAGAACAAGAAGACGAUCAUAGCCACUGUUGCCUUUACCUUCUCUGGCCUGCUCCCUUGAAAGGGAGCAGUGAUCUAGGUGCAGAGUGAUCUAAAAACCUGCUUGAGAACGAGAUGCAGCCAACGCUUUUCUUCAGAAGUUCAGAGGAGGGCCCUUCUUGCACCUGCCAGCUCUGUACAGACAGGUACUAAAAUUCGCAUCUGAGUAUGUCAGAAAUACUGCACUCAGCUGUCUCAACUUCUGUCACAGGCGCCUGCUAAGAGACGAAUCAGCCAAUUAGUCUGGGAUGUUCAGAAGAGCUCCAUUCCCGUUCAGUUGUUCCGAUUCCUGGACCUGUGAGAAGCCUGGCUCUUGGCAGCUGAGUACUUGGAAAGCUAGCUGUGAAUUCAGAUUUGGCCUUGAAUCCGCAAAUGUGCAAUUCAGAAACCCUCAUAAGGAGCAGGCAGUCUGAUCCCAAGCAUAAGCCAAGUUCAUCACAGCUCCAAAAAAAAAAAAAGUAACACCUUCUGGGGUUUUUGCCACGCACAGCAAAGUACAGUGUUGCAGAAAUAUUUUGUAGGCAGUUUUCUGCACAAUAACCUGCAGCUCUGCAGGCACAACUACUUAACAUUGAUCCAUGCAUUUUUUUCAGCACAGCGUCAUAUUUUGUGUUGCUAUCAAGCAGUGUGAUAUGCUUUACUUUUAAUAUGCUCUGUUAUUUUCUUCUCAAACAACUUCCUUUUUCUUCCAAAUUCCCUUCAACCAGUGAUUUUGUGUUCCAUGGCAUUAUUUCUUUGUUGCAGAACGUCAUAAAUACAGAUGUAUAUGGGCCUUAAUUUUUUCCAUUAAACACCAUUACAUCUGGA